AUUGAACGCUGGCGGCAGGCCUAACACAUGCAAGUCGAGCGGAGCGGCGGACGGGUGAGUAAUGCCUAGGAAUCUGCCUGGUAGUGGGGGAUAACGUCCGGAAACGGGCGCUAAUACCGCAUACUAUCAGAUGAGCCUAGGUCGGAUUAGCUAGUUGGUGGGGUAAAGGCCUACCAAGGCGACGAUCCGUAACUGGUCUGAGAGGAUGAUCAGUCACAAUGGAAGUGAGACACGGUCCAGAUUCCUACGGGGGGCAGCAGUGGGGAAUAUUGGACAAUGGGCGAAAGCCUGAUCCAGCGAUGCCGGGGGUGUGAAGAAGGUCUGCGGAUAGUAAAGAACUUUAGGUUGGGAGGCGGUACCAACAGAAAAAGCACCGGCUAACUUCGUGCCAGCAGCCGCGGUAAUUG
rnacentral:rRNA from 1 species